rnacentral:rRNA from 1 species
UACGAAGGGUGCAAGCGUUACUCGGAAUUACUGGGCGUAAAGCGUGCGUAGGUGGUUUGUUAAGUCUGUUGUGAAAGCCCCGGGCUCAACCUGGGAAUGGCAAUGGAUACUGGCAAGCUAGAGUGCGGUAGAGGGUAGUGGAAUUCCCGGUGUAGCGGUGAAAUGCGUAGAGAUCGAGAGGAACACCAGUGGCGAAGGCGAGUCCCUGGACAGGUCCUGACGCUGAGGCACGAAAGCUAGGGGAGCAAACAGG